CGACGGGUCGUUGAAUAAAGACUCAAUUUUUGCGUUCCUCUCUAGAUUAUAGGCGCCGGGUUAAGUUUGUCGGAGUAAAAUGGCUCAGAACGCUGUUGUCGGCGAGUACUUGGUGGGUCGACAAAUAGGGUCGGCACAUCCAAAGUUCAAUCCUUUCAGCUUAAAGAUCUCCUGGGAAAAUUACAUACAUUUGGUGUUGGAUUAUUGCAAAGGAGGUGGGUGAUCUGUCUGUGUUCCCCUGAAGCUACUGCCAAAGCAUUUCAUGUUACAGUUAGAGAUAGAGAGUGUUAGAGAUUCAAUCUUUGUUGAAAUUAUAGCAAGAAUCAGCUCGUGUGCAGCAACAAUUGCAUUGCAGAACUAGUCCAUGAAAGAAAGGAUAAAAUCAUAGCCAUGAUGGAUCAGAGGAGAUCUCCUGAUUGUUUCAUACGUUCAAUUGUUG